AUUGAACGCUGGCGGAAUGCUUUACACAUGCAAGUCGAACGGCAGCACGGGGCAACCUGGUGGCGAGUGGCGAACGGGUGAGUAAUACAUCGGAACGUGCCCAAUCGUGGGGGGAUAACGUAGCGAAAGUUACGCUAAUACCGCAUACGAUCUACGGAUGAAAGCGGGGGAUCGCAAGACCUCGCGCGAAUGGAGCGGCCGAUGUCAGAUUAGGUAGUUGGUGGGGUAAAGGCUCACCAAGCCAACGAUCUGUAGCUGGUCUGAGAGGACGACCAGCCACACUGGAACUGAGACACGGUCCAGACUCCUACGGGAGGCAGCAGUGGGGAAUUUUGGACAAUGGGCGCAAGCCUGAUCCAGCCAUUCCGCGUGCAGGAUGAAGGCCUCGG
rnacentral:rRNA from 1 species